ACAUGCCUACAACAUAGCGUUAAUGCACCAGAUCCCAUUAGAACUCCGCAGUUAAGCGUGCUCAGGCUAAAGAAGAACUGGGAUGGGUGACUGCUCGAGAAGUCCUAGUGUUUUACAUGCC
rnacentral:rRNA from 1 species